CCCGUUAACCGUGACUAACUCUCCUCUUUUUGAAUGGCAAAAGUUGGAUGUAAAAUCAAAUUACAGGCUGAAAGUUUUAAUUAAAGCUAAAAUUUCCGUGUAGUAUAAUUUAUGAUAUAAAAAUAUUGUUAUCACCAGUCCCAACUGUUUGAUAUACAUGUAUGCAGACUGCACGACCGCAGCACCAUUUGGUUUGCAGAUGUCCCAUACAAAAACCAGUGAUUUUACGCGUCAAUAUGUACGUUUUACGCAUACCAAUCGGGGCAUUUCUAGUUUUUCCACAAUUAUUUCAAAGUUUGAACGCACGGUUUUGACUUCAGCUUGCGGAAUGUAGAUACUAACUUUGUUUUCUUUUUCAGGUGAGUGGUGAUUUUGCAGGCUGGAGGAACAUUCGUUCCGAGGAAACUGCUCGGAGAUGCGACGGUUCCUGAUGGAGCAAUUGUUUAAAACGGCAUAGAUAUGGGGUAAUCCCGGUCGUAGAAAAUAGAGCGGCAUAAAUGAAAUUGUGUUCAAAAGGAGAUGUAUUUGUUAUUCAUGGCGCAUACGUAAAAUGAGGCAUCGCAUCAAACGCUAUAAAAGGUACUACGUACACGGAAUAAUGCGCGACGCAUCUGAGGAAUCAUAAUUUGCCAAAAUUCGAGGCUGCGGCGCCAUCCUUUUCCGCCCUUUGUUCGUUUGACAAACUAUCCGACAAUAGUGAAGGGACAGUCGGCAUCGGAAGGGUAGGACCGAGUCAUAAUGAUAGUUUAUUUGGAUUAUCUCUUGAUAUAUCAUCGGUCAUUUGUCACGUUUAUACGGCUAAGUAGUCGGAUAAAAAAUGGAUUGCCACCCCGAUACCAUCCUUCUUCUUCGGCUAACUGCUUGAUGCGACAGCUGCCGGGAUGUAACCACUUUUAAUUUACCUAUUAUCGUCCUACCUAUUUAUUCGUUUCGUCACAUUUUUUCAACGCACACACAAUUUAUGACCAACUAAUAUAUCACACGUUACACUAGUACCCCGAAAUAUAAUUUUAAAUCCGUCACAACCAUUUAUCUGUCCAGAGAUUGUCAGGUUUGUGGUUGUGAAAAAAUAGAAAUUGUAAACUCUAACCAAGUCAAUAAAAAUUGUAAUUUCUAUAUGAAUAAUUGCUUUGUGUUGGUAUCUAAUACCAACUGACUGUUGUUUAGUCCACAAAGUCAUUAUUUUUUAAUUAUCGCUCUGUGUGGAGCAGACAGCGAUCGAUCGUAAAUUGUAAAUUAUCAAGUGCGUCUGCCACAAUCCAAUAAAGCUGACCCUCUUAUCCUUAAUAACGAUACAGUAUCAAGUCGGUAUUAAUCUGAUUUAACCUCUUCCUCACACUUAAGCGUAUAAUAACCAUUAAUGAUAAAAUCAGCAGCGUGUGUGAUUGAGUAACGCAAAGCUUCACUUAACUUCCUCAACAAAUUCUAAAUCAGAGUUGCGUGCCAUAAAGAGCAUCCACCCAUUGGAAAUUAUUUUCGUCCCUAUUUACAACUUCCGCUUGGUAUAUGACAGCCGGGUGCGCGUCAGUUAUUAAUAUUAGAAAAAAUGUUGUCACAAAACACCUGUACGUCUUCAGUUUAAUCGUCGGCGUCUAGACUGCGAGACAAAUCCGACAAUUAUAUUCAAAACUCUUUGAAGAGCACAGUUAAAGGCACUUUAAACAUAUUUUAUGACAAAUUAAUCUCUUUGAAGCGCUUUUUUGCGGCCCAAGUUUUAAUUACGUCGAACGGGUUGUUUGGAUGGAAGAGAAAAAUACGUUUUUUUGCAACUCGGAGCGAGAUUAUUGUAGGAUGGGGAGAGGAAAGUCGCGUCUUACGGGAUGGUUUUGUGGCGAGUAGGCUAAGCUGCCCUAAAUUGGGGCUGAAACAAUGUUCUUUCCAAACUGGUGCGCGAAAGAGCAUAGAUCUUCGGUUUAUUAUCUGAAAGACGGGCUUGGGUAAACACCGCUGAGCACCUUCUAAGGACAGCUUCGAUCAACCACGUUAUUUUGAAUCUCAACAUGAUAAUAAUGUAAAAAUUCUAGCCGCGAUCAGAGAAAACAGCAUUAAAAAUGUAUA